rnacentral:rRNA from 1 species
AACGAACGCUGGCGGCAGGCUUAACACAUGCAAGUCGAACGCCCCGCAAGGGGAGUGGCAGACGGGUGAGUAACGCGUGGGAAUCUACCUAGUUCUACGGAACAACACGGGGAAACUUGUGCUAAUACCGUAUACGCCCUCCGGGGGAAAGAUUUAUCGGAAUUAGAUGAGCCCGCGUAAGAUUAGCUAGUUGGUGAGGUAAUGGCUCACCAAGGCGACGAUCUUUAGCUGGUCUGAGAGGAUGAUCAGCCACACUGGGACUGAGACACGGCCCAGACUCCUACGGGAGGCAGCAGUGGGGAAUAUUGGACAAUGGGCGAAAGCCUGAUCCAGCCAUGCCGCGUGAGUGAUGAAGGCCUUAGGGUUGUAAAGCUCUUUCAGUAGGGAAGAUAAUGACGGUACCUACAGAAGAAGCCCCGGCUAACUUCGUGCCAGCCGCCGCAGUAAUAC